CCAUGUUCCUCUGUUCUUCACCUGAAAUGUUCCUAAGCUAAGUUGAUUUUUCCACCUGAAAUGUUCCUCUGAACAAAAAUAGCAACAACAGAUAAAGAAUUAGUAAAUUAUGCAUCUUCAACUCACAAGGUGUCAACAUAAGCCAAUUAAGAAAGAAACCAGAGUGGGAAAACAAAUUCAUUAUGCAAAAAUUACAUCAAGGUUAAUCCAAAGUGCGAGAAUAUAAAACCUCGUAUUUCAGAAAUAUUAACCACUCCACUGUCCAAAAAAUAUGAAGAACCAUACAAUUAUCCCCCAUGAGGGAACAACGCCGAAUUUAGAAGAAUCCCCCAUGAGGGAACAACGCCAAAUUUAGAAGAAUCUUUGCAGGGUGUUCCAAUUGCUCUUGAAAAUGUGGCGACUAGUAUUGAUCAGAAAUUUAAAGAUGAACAAAUGAAAAGUGAUGAACAGAAUAAAUCACAGAAAGUAUCUGAAAUUUAGCAAGUCCUUCAUCUUCUUCCAUUCGCUCAACGAAAAGAAGCCUCGGCAGAAUUUAGCAGGCACAUCCAAGCAACAAUAGUUGAAUUACUUGGAGAGCUUGUGAUUGGAGAAGUAAGCAACUCUCUUAGGAGAAGAAAGAUGUUGGAUUCUGAAGAGAGCAAUAGAGAUUCUGUUUCUACAGAGAUGAUGAUAUCUAGAAGCAAGGCUCCUUGGGUUAAAAUUCAAGAGCAGCCAUCACAAAGGGAGGUUUCAAAUACGGAUUCUCCAUCAUUUGGGAUUGACGCAGGAAGGAGGCAAGGGUGAAGAGGCGAGCAUGGUAAUUACAACACCAGUGAGGCGAUCAAGCAGAAUCCGUAGCCGUGGUGCCAUGUCUCCCAUCUGGCUCAACUCCAAAAUCCAUUGUAGAUGAAGAAACCUGUAACUUCUCCCAUCGGCUUCAAUUUCCACGCCAUCGCCACCACCACCACCUCUCGAUUUUUCCGAUUAUCACCGCGAUUAUAUGUUUUGAUUCAAGGUACUCAUAUAUUCUCCAUCUCUUGAUCUCGAUUUAGAGAUUCUCCAUCUCUUGAUCUCGAUUUAGGGAUAAACCCAAAAUUCGAUUUAGGGAUAAAUGAGAGAGAGAGAGAAUGAGAAUGCAGGAGUCAGAAAUGAGGGAGAAUACUGUGGUUUGAGUAAGAAGGCUAUUUUAGACAUUUUCUAGUUUUUUUUUACCGUUACACUUCUUAUCACGUGUUUUUUGGCGUCUGACAUGCACGCUCGGUUAAUUUGGAUGGAAAAGGUAACGGUUUCACUUCACCUCAAAAGGUCGGGUGUUUAAAUGUAGUUUUACUGACUAUAAGUGGUUAAGUGGGAAACCGCUUAAACCCCAG
rnacentral:lncRNA from 1 species